rnacentral:tRNA from 2 species
GUGGCAUUAGCUCAGAUGGAUAGAGCAACGGCCUUCUAAGCCGUCGGUCGAGGGUUCGAAUCCUGCAUGCCGCGCCA